AACGAACGCUGGCGGCAUGCCUAACACAUGCAAGUCGUGCGAGAAAGUUCCUUCGGGAGCGAGUAAAGCGGCGCACGGGUGAGUAACACGUAGGUAACCUGCCCCCCAGUCUGGAACAACUAGAGGAAACUCUAGCUAAUGCCGGAUGAGACCACGAUCCCUUCGGGGGUUGCGGCCCAAAGAUGGCCUCUACUUGUAAGCUAUCGCUGAGGGAUGGGCCUGCGGGCCAUUAGCUUGUUGGUGAGGUAACGGCUCACCAAGGCCGUGAUGGCUAGCUGGUCUGAGAGGAUGACCAGCCACACUGGGACUGAGACACGGCCCAGACUCCUACGGGAGGCAGCAGUGGGGAAUAUUGCGCAAUGGGCGAAAGCCUGACGCAGCGACGCCGCGUGGGUGAUGAAGGCC
rnacentral:rRNA from 1 species